AUGUUUCUGAAGGCAUUGGGCGACUCUCCACUAGUUCUCAUUAGAGCAUGUGAACAAGGUAUAACUCCACCUUAAUCUAUGUAAUAAUCAAGUGCUCCAUACGGACAGAUUUUUCACCACUAUGGCAUGGUUGAUCGCACACAAGGCUUGGCCCUCUCACAAGUGCCCCAAAUAGAUCAACAAGCUCCUAAUCACCCGCUAAGGUUUCCACAUCAGUAUUGGUGACCCUCUGGCUGAGGUACCUGAGCCAAGACUAUCAUCCGUGUUAACGUGAGCUGCCACCAAACCACUGUCGGUGCCCAUCUUUCAGGUAAGGUUGCUAAGUACUAAGUAAAGCUAUUUACCAAAGACAGAGCCAUGAUAGCACUCAUGGUUGUACUUUUUUUCCUAGGUGGUCAGUCCAUGUUCCGUUUAAUACAAAAUGAUCUUGUUUAAUCGUCGGAUAUUGUCAGUCCAUGUUACGUUUAAUACAAAAUGAUCUUGUUUAAUCGUCGGAUUAACAACAAUAGUAUAAAAUUCAUCUCCGGAACCAUAUUGUUUUCAAAGAGUGAUAUCAUAAUGAUAAAGUUGAGCAUUAGCAUAGCUACUAAGCAUAGUAUUAAUCCCAUGUUAAUCAAGGAAUAAGGUUGGUAUUUCUAGAUAAUCCUAUUUAGGCAAAACCCAUCAAAUUAUGCACAUAUCCAAAAGUAAAUCUUAUUGAAUGUAUUAUUUGGGUACAAAUAAGAAAUGCAGAGGGAGAAUCCACUUGCCUUGUUCAAAAGUAUCAUGUGGAUCUUCCUCAAAUGAAUUUGGGUCCUCUACCACAGAAUCCGCUUCUAAUAUAGUCGCACAUCACACAUACAAAAAGAAAACAUACACCAUUCAAUAAACAAUAAAACAUGCAUUAUACAAAUCACGCUUAUAAAAGGAAAGAUAACAUCUAAACAUAAGACUUGGUCUGUGGCUAUAUUAUAAAUCUAACCAUAUCGACUGUCAUUUUAUUGUUAAUGACAUAAAUCACUAAUUAUUUUAUUUCGAUAUUUUACUAGUGAAACCUAUAUGGAAAAUCGUUCAUGGAUAUAUAUAUAUAUAUAUAUAUAUAUAUAUAUAUAUAUAUAUAUUUCAUUUAAUAUAAUACAUAGAAGCAAUGUUAAACCAAACUCUAUGGACCUAGAUAAAUUACCAAUUAAUUAUUUCUACCAGAAAACACGAGUUACCUGUUAUUUUUGUUCUUUCUCACUAAGAGGAAAUUAUAUUGGUCGUUACAAAGUUAUUCUAGAAGACAGACAAUCUAUAGUUUAGUAAUGGAAUUAUAUUAAGCUAUCAUUUAGACCAUAGUGGGCAUGUUCAUAGUUAUAUCAUCUCAGUAUUAAUGAAACUCUACUAUUUCUUUAGUGAAUAAACAAUGUGCAGAUUUACACAUGAACGUGCGAAAAUUGACUAUAAAACUAAAUCACACUUUUAAGAGAAAAGGUAAUUACGUAGUUAUUCAUCUAAUAUUCUUGGUUAUCAAUACGCCAUGUUUUUCUAUUUUUUAUCCUUCAUUCUAGAUGACCGCAUCAACUUCAACAUACAUAAAUCCUAAUAAGAUACAAAAAUACGAAAUAUAAUGGGCACCGAUUAAAAUAGAUCAUCACAUACACAUGAAGUCAAUUGUUAACCUACACAUGAAAUAUUCAUUACAUAUAUCCAAAAUAUUUUUGUAGGGAUUAGAUAACAAAUUAUCUAUAGUCAUGAGACGAAUGAUUACAGGGACCUAAUUCAAUUCUUUUGAAUUGAGAAACAAUCUAACACAAUAUAGACAAACAUCAGGGGCUAGCUAGAAAAAAUCCACUUCUUCUACCUUCCCUCCUCUAUUUCUUGCACGCAGGGGCUGGCGACGAGCGAGGUUCCGACCGAUUGUGGACGAGGUGAGUAAAGGAUGUGGACGGUGGAGCUUCGAGCUCCGGUCGACGGCAUGGACGGUGGACAGAGGUGUUCCGGUGGUGACGAACGUCGGAGACGACGAGACAAUGUCGGUCGACGGCGACGUACGACGACAAGGAGAGAGGAGAGGCGUGGGCGAGCUCGGCAGCCGGGGGAAAUGGUCCAUGAGCUUGGCGUCGAGCUUUUAUAGAGGGAGAAGAGAGAGAGAGAGAGCACCGGGAGAGGGAGUAAUGGCCGUCAGCAGCCAUUAACGACAUCAAUGGUGCGGCUUCAAUGGGGAGCGAGAUUGGGGGGGAGGAAGAGGGAGAGGCGCAAUGG
rnacentral:lncRNA from 1 species